rnacentral:rRNA from 1 species
UACGUAGGGGGCUAGCGUUGCUCGGAAUGACUGGGCGUAAAGGGCGCGUAGGCGGUUCGUACAGUCAGGCGUGAAAUUCCCGGGCUUAACCUGGGGGCUGCGUUUGAUACGUGCGGGCUUGAGUUCGGAAGAGGGUAGUGGAAUUCCCAGUGUAGAGGUGAAAUGCGUAGAUAUUGGGAAGAACACCGGUGGCGAAGGCGGCGACCUGGUCCGAUACUGACGCUGAGGAGCGAAAGCGUGGGGAGCGAACAGG